GACAGAGGAGCCAAGCGUUGUCCGGAUUGACUGGGCGUAAAGCGCACGCAGGCGGUCGCGCGCGUGGGGUGUGAAAUCUGGCCGCUUAACGGCCAGGCGCCAUCCCAUACGGCGCGACUGGAGUGAUGCAGAGGUCGAUGGAAUUGCCGGUGUAGUGGUGAAAUGCGUAGAGAUCGGCAGGAACACCCAAGGGGAAGCCAGCGGACUGGCACGGUGCUGACGCUGAGGAGCGAAAGCGUGGGGAGCGAACAGG
rnacentral:rRNA from 1 species